rnacentral:rRNA from 1 species
UACGUAGGUGGCAAGCGUUUGUCCGGAUUUAUUGGUUUAAAGGGUGCGUAGGCGGUUAUAUAAGUCAGUGCUGAAAUAUCCCGGCUUAACCGGGGAGGGUGGCAUUGAUACUGUAUGACUUGAGUAAAGUUGAGGUUGGCGGAAUUGACGGUGUAGCGGUGAAAUGCUUAGAUAUCGUCAAGAACACCGAUUGCGAAGGCAGCUAACUAGCUUAACUUGACGCUGAGGCACGAAAAGUGUGGGGGAUCAAACAGG